rnacentral:lncRNA from 1 species
GUUUUGAACAAAGUAAUGAAGGUGUCAACUUGGUGGUGAAAAUGAAUUUGUCCAUGCAUCGGUCAACAUAGAACAAGCCCCAGAAAGGUGGUCCCAGAUAGUGACAGAAGCAGUUCCUGGACCGGAAGACCUAGUGAACUGGACAGGUUCAACCAGGAGCAACCUAAAGGCUGGGGAAUGAGGACAGCUAAGGCUGUGGCUCCAUUCUCAGCUGGACUUUUCCUUGGUUGGUCUUCAUUCACGUUGCCUAUUAUGAGGAUGGCUUCCUCGUGAACUCCAAGCAGCUCCAAACAGGAAACCUGGUUUCCUCAAAAUGUGGUUUGUUUACAAGUGGUGAUAUACGCGAUUUUACAUGUACAUGGAUAAGUUAAAAAUAGUGUGGAUAUUGCAUUGGAAAACACAUAAAACAUGCCUGAGCAAGAUACUAAUUGCCAAAUAAGGAUAAAUUGGAAGACAAGGAGAGGAAUGAUGGGGACGUGCGUGUGGAAAGAUGGAGAAUGAAACUAGAAAAGCUAAUAUCACAAGGUGGCAGCCCAUAUGCAAGUGGCGUUUCAUGGAACUUCUUCAAUAUGUAAGUGAAAUAUCUGAGGUCUGGAGAAGACAAUUACCCAGGAUCACACAAGAAGUUAGUUAUAGGGCAAUGACUAGAACUUGAGGCUUUGCUUCAUAAUUGAGUGACUUUUUAAAAAUUCAGCUUCUCCCUUCUCCUUAAAAAAGAAAUAUUUUGUUACAUACAGGUAAUGCUGUACACUUUCAACAUUAUUCAAACCUUUAUUUAUAUAUUAUUUGUUGUUUUCAAUUUGAUUCAGAAAAAAUUUGUCUGGAAGAUGUUUCAUUUCAUUUGAAAGAGUGCAUAAAUAGAUCCAAAUGAUUAAAACCAGUUUAAAAAAAUUAGUUCAUGUAAGUAAAAUAUUUUUGAAAGAAAAAAGGUGAGGCUUUGACAGAGAGACAAUGCUGUUUAAUGAUAAGAGGAGAGCAAAGUAUCACAGGGACUCAGAUAAAUCCUGGUCCUCUCCAAUCCACAGAAAGACUUUAAACAAUGUACUUAGAUUCUUGGGGUCUUGGUUUCUAUAACACUGG